rnacentral:rRNA from 1 species
UACGUAGGGUGCAGGCGUUAAUCGGAAUUACUGGGCGUAAAGCGUGCGCAGGCGGUGAUGUAAGUCCGACGUGAAAUCCCCGGGCUUAACCUGGGAACUGCAUUGGUGACUGCAUUGCUGGAGUAUGGCAGAGGGGGGUGGAAUUCCACGUGUAGCAGUGAAAUGCGUAGAGAUGUGGAGGAACACCGAUGGCGAAGGCAGCCCCCUGGGCCAAUACUGACGCUCAUGCACGAAAGCGUGGGGAGCAAACAGG